rnacentral:rRNA from 1 species
AUUGAACGCUGGCGGCAGGCCUAAUACAUGCAAGUCGAACGAGUGGCGGACGGGUGAGUAAUGUCUGGGAAACUGCCCGAUGGAGGGGGAUACCUACUGGAAACGGUAGCUAAUACCGCAUACCAUCGGAUGUGCCCAGAUGGGAUUAGCUUGUAGGUGAGGUAACGGCUCACCUAGGCGACGAUCCCUAGCUGUGCUGAGAGGAUGACCAGCCACACUGGAACUGAGACACGGUCCAGACUCCUACGGGAGGCAGCAGUGGGGAAUAUUGCACAAUGGGCGCAAGCCUGAUGCAGCCAUGCCGCGUGUAUGAAGAAGGCCUUCGGGUUGUAAAGCCCUUUUGUUGGGAAAGCGGUACCCAAAGAAUAAGCACCGGCUAACUUCGUGCCAGCCGCCGCGGUAAUAC